rnacentral:lncRNA from 1 species
AGUUGCUUUGCUGUUGCUGUUUCUGGCAGCAAAUGGAGUGGAGGAAAGCUUAAAUCCUUGGCCUUUAGAGUUGCGCAUUAGAGGUCAAAGCUGCCCCUUCCUAGCUGUAGAAGAGCUGGUGUGUACGCGGUGUGUAUACUUGUACCUUGAACAAGUCAGCGAAGCAAACAGCUCUGCCUGUUGGGAUGUACGAAAAUGAAGCCCGCCAUGGGGAGCCUCGAGCCGCGGAGCUGAAGGCCUGAUGUGAGCUGAGCCAUGAAGGAAAGAGGAUGUUGCAGUGAGCGUUGAUGCUGAAGACUACCUGCUGGAGAAGGCGCUUGCAAGAGUCUGAAUUUUCCCUGAGACUCAAGAUGACUCACCACCUUUCCCUUUUCCUUUCUUUAAAACAAAACAAGACACAA